GAGACGGUACAGGGAUAUAGAAGAAGGGGAAAUAGAGGAGGAAAGAGACUGGAGAGACCGAAAAGAAAAAAUCAUGAAGAAAUAAGGAUUUUUAAUUUGUCUAAAAAGGUUCUUAAUUUAAAUGAGAAAAAUGUUUUAAAUAAAGGUUUUAAAUUCGCACCAAGUUGUAUUAUGGAUAAAUUUGAGGCAUAUACUGAUAUUAAUAGGUUUAUGAGGAGAUUAUGUCUUAAAAAUUUUUUUAAUCAAAAACCCAAAAUGGAAGACAAUACUUUUGAGAAUGCAACUCUUUUUCAUCAUACGGAUUUAAAACCUCAGUCAUCCUUUUAUCCUAUACAUUUAAAAUCCAAUUCUAUGAAAGUCUUUGAAAGGGCAUGUGUUAAAGACAUCAAACAAAUUAAAAUGAAUAAGAGAGAUAAUUUAACAAAAAAAGAGAGACAGGCUAUGCAGAAUUUAGGGAAAGAUUCUCAAAUAGUAAUA